GAAAGGUUCAGCAAAGUUUCAUUAAAAUCAAUAUUCAUUAUGCUCUUUGUAAAAUGUAUACAAUAUUUUUUUUCAUUCCUGAUGAUAUAACUUCAGACCAUACUGUAUAAAACCCAGGUCACAUCACAAAUUCUGUUUGAUGGGAUAUAAGAUCUGCAUCAGCUCACCGCUCAGUUUGGUCUUGAUGCCCAUUGGCGUACGACGAGGUCGGCUGAGUCCAGCCUCAUUCUCAGCAAAGAUUCUAAACUCGUAUUCCUGUGCCUCCAUUAAGCCACCCAUGGUGAACUGGCGAUCCUUGGAGCGCUCCUUGUGGCAUUUCUUCCAGGCACUUUCCCCUGCCUGCCUGAACUCAAUCCAGUAGCCCAGAAUCUCCUUGCCUCCGUCAUGCUCGGGCCUGAGCCAGUGGAUGGUGAUGCAGUCUUUGGUGAUGGAGAUGAUGUCGAUCUCUCCUGGCUGGCUGGGUUUGUCUAUAAGGAAUGAACAAAAGGAGCGUAGAAAAAAAGACACUAAACAACAGACUCUGAAACAGGACCAGGCUCACUCUGCCCAAUGUCGUUCUGAGCCACGACUCUGAACAUGUACUCUGCAUCGGGGAUGAGACCUGUGACAUUGUACAUGGUUGUGGUGAUGUGGGUCUUGUUGUGGCGGACCCACUUCUCUGUGGACACCUCCCUCCUUUCCACAUAGUAUCCUGUGACGCGAGAGCCACCGUCAUCCCGGGGGCGGGACCAGGACAGAGCCACUGUAGACUUGGUCACGUCCAUGAUCUCUGGCCCUUCACCACCAGAGAAUUCUCGGCCACCCGGGAGUCAACUGUACACCAGGCGGCCUUGGGUACCUCUCGCCUUUCCACGAUGUAUCCCAGGAUGUCAGAACCACCAUCAUCUGAAGGUGUUCUCCAGCUGACUCGCACUGAUCUGGCCUGAAUGUCGUCAAACUCCAGAGGGCCUUCUGGGACAUCAGGGCGACCGAUCACCUUCACCUAGAGGAGGAGGACAUACAUAGAACGUUAAGUAUCAACCAUUCCAAGAAAAUGUGUUCAAGUGUAUUUUAUUUCACUGUCAAUUCAGACAAGCUGGUCACCUUGAUGUACACAGCCUUCCUGCCGCAUUUGUUCUCCAGCACCAGGUCGUAGGUACCAGUGUCAUCUUUGUGUGCCUCUUUGAUGACCAGCUCAGUGACGUCAUCGUGGGUGGCGAUCAUGGCGCGAUGGGAGAUGUCACGACCGUCCUUGGUCCACUUGCAUGUAGGGAUGGGUUUACCCUUGAUAGGUACAGACAGAUGGAUGACUCCGCCCUGUCGCACCACCAUUUCCUGGACUUUAACCACUCCAGGAAUCUCGGCGGGCUCUCCGGUACCACCAGCGUUGCAGGCGAUGACCCUGAAUUUGUACUCUGCACCCUGAGGCAUGUGGGUGGCGACCAAGCCAGAGAGACCGAAGUCCUGGUGCUGUCCGUGACCCGGGCCUGGACUGGAGUUCCUGGAGGCUCUGUUCAACAAAACAUGGAGACAUUUGGUAAAAAUACUGACAUCAGACUAAUCAACAAUAGGUGGUG